GACAGAGGGUGCAAACGUUGCUCGGAAUUACUGGGCGUAAAGCGCGUGUAGGCGGGCUUGUAAGUCGGAUGUGAAAUCCCUGAGCUCAACUCAGGAACUGCAUUCGAAACUGCAAGUCUGGAGUGGUGGAGAGGGAAGCAGAAUUCCUGGUGUAGAGGUGAAAUUCGUAGAUAUCAGGAGGAACACCGGGGGCGAAGGCGGCUUCCUGGACACUUACUGACGCUGAGACGCGAAAGCGUGGGGAGCAAACAGG
rnacentral:rRNA from 1 species